GAUGGAGUAGUUGCUAACAUGAUGGAAUGGACAGUUUAGCCACUAUUAGUAUGUUUCAUUGUGCUUUGUGAAACUCCCAACCUCCACUUGGUAUGGAACGGAAAGUUAGAGCAUCGGGACAUGCAACACAUGGUUACAUACUGUUGUUCAUGAUAGAUAAUAUGCAAUGCAACCUAGUAUGCAAUUAGCAGUAUGCAAUAAUAGCAGCGGAAAAAUGGUGACUUGUAAAAUUUUUUGUGCCAGAACGAACUAAACAUCCCAACAUUCAAAUUAAACAUAGAUAGAGCCUACUUAACAGAGGUCCAAAUAGUAAGACAUAAGCUCAACAGAAACCCGGGAGAUAGAAUCUCCUUAUUACAGAUAACUUCAUAGGGGUUUCAUAAAAAGGAAACUCAAAUCAUUUAUCUAAUACGCUCCAUGGUGGACAGGACCAUCUCUAAGAACAUUACUAUUAACUCCAUCUUGUGGUCGGGGUCGGGCUCGUUCUCAAUCAUCUGAAGCCCAAGGGUGAAGUUCAUCACCAUCUUGAUCAAUAUUUGGUCCUAACACAACUUCUACCAUUCCCCCCGUGAAACUACCAUAGUGAGAUUACUUGAAUUCUCAGUAAGUUAAACAACCAACGUAUACAAAGAUAUACAUGACUAAUGAUAAGCAUGAGAUGCAUGCAUGAUAGCAGAAAAAAAAUGUAUUUGUCUUCCAUCCAGAUUCCUUAAUAUCUUUCAGAAAACUUUAAUGCACAUUUUUUUACGGAGAACAUUUUAUAUUUCAUCUUUUCAAAACAUAUAUUAUGUUAGAGCCAUCAUUAACAUAUGGUAACAUCACGGUUCCCCCAUUUUGCACCAUGAGACCGUAACUUAGGUUAAGAUGACAUCUUUAGAGCUGCGCAGAUAUAACAUUCAAUGCAUUGAUCAUAAACAUUUCUAACAUAUGCACCCACCAACGUUAGAUGCCAUAUACGAUUUCGCUCUGGAAUUCUUUAAAAAGAACCCAUUCGAAGUCUGUUGACUGUUAUUCGUCAACUUAUGGGUUACCACUUCAUUAUUAAUCACUCCAGAUUGAACAAAGGAGUUCCACUAGGAUAUUUUCCUAUCCUAGCAUUGGCUCGUGACAAAAUAUUUUCAAGGUAUGAUCAUGACAAAAAAUAUAUUUCAUGACGUGUGCUCAUUUUGUAACAUGUAGUAUGCUUCAUUCAAAAAUGACAUAUUAUUAUGCAACAUGCUAAAAUCUUGCAAAUUUUACAUCUCAUGUAUGCAAGUAGCCGAAUGCUCAAUGAUUUAUCAUAUAACAUUUUAUGAUCAAAAUAACAUUUAUAACAUGAAUGUGGUGUUUUGUCAAAUUGGAUUGAAUGCCUCUUUUGUGAGGAUUUCCUUUCAUUUUAUAGGCACAAGUGUGCGUGAUACAAGGCUAGAAUCAAACCAAAUUUACAGCAAUCAAAUCUGUCUAAAAAAGGAAACUAGGACUAUUUACAUAAUUUGUCUAAAUAAGGAACAUGAUCUGUCUAAGUAAAGAAGUAUAUAUAUACAGAUUAGGAAAGCAAAAUAAGGAAGGUCUUGCUGUCAUCCUCCCUCAAACUGAUGCUGGUUGGUCAAGAAGUAUCAAUUUGCCUACAUGAAACUGAUGGCGUUGUCAUGUCAUGGCCUUUGUAAACAUAUCAGUGAUCUGGAGGUCAGUAGAAACAUGAGGAAGAGAAAUGAUAUGAGUGUCCAAGACUUCCUGAAUGGAAUGACAGUCCACCUUGAUGUGUUUUGUAUGUUCAUGAGAAAAGGAUUUGCGGCAAUUUGAAUGACACUAGUGUUGUCAGCAUGGAGAGGAGUAGGAUCGGACUGAACACAACCAAGCUUAGCAAGAAGACCACGAAGCCAUAGAAUCUUAGAACAAGCAGCCGACAUUGCACGGUAUUUGGACUUGGUGGAAGAUUUGGAAACACGAUCCUGUUUCUUACUCUUCCUAGAUAUCAAAGAGUCACCAAGAAACAUGCACCAACCCGUAAUAGAUCGUCGCAUAUUAGGGUAGGACAUCCUGCCCAAUUAACAUCACUAUAAGCCACAAGGCGAAGAGAAGUCCCAGUAGGGAAGAAUAGGCCACGGCUAGGUGAUCCUCGAAGAUAUCGAAUGAUAUGACGAACAGCAGCUAAAUGUAGAUGACGUGGAGCCUGCAUGAAUUGACUAAUCUGCUGGAUAGCAAAUGAAAUAUCAAGUCGAGUAAUAGUCAAAUAGUUCAGGCUACCCACUAACUGUCGAUACAUAGUAGGGUCGGAAAGGAGAUCACCCUCCUCCCGACGAUACUUUGUGUUUACUUCCAGAGGAGUAUCCACAGAAGAAGUAUCUUGAAGGCUAGCCAAAGUAAUCAAAUCCUGAGUGUAUUUAUGCUGAUUCAAAAAAUUCUAGAUGGAUCAGUAUGAACUUCUGACCCCAAGAGUACGUAAGAGGACCAAGAUCCUUCAUAUGAAAUGAGGCUUGAAGAUGCUGCUGCAGUUGGGUGAUCAAGGCGGAAUCCGUCCCAGUAAUAACAAUAUCAUCAACAUAAACCAAAAGAAGAACAAUGCCAGUAGAUGUCUCGCAGAGAAAUAGAAGAGAGUCAUAUUGACUCUGCUUAAAAGAAAACUAAAGUAAGGUGGAUCGGAAUUUAUCAAACCAUGCUCGGGGAGCUUGUUUCAGCUCAUAUAACGAGCGUCUCAACUUACAGACAUCCAAGGAAGAAGAGGAUG